rnacentral:rRNA from 1 species
GACGAACGCUGGCGGCGUGCUUAACACAUGCAAGUCGAACGGAAAGGCCCUGCUUUUGUGGGGUGCUCGAGUGGCGAACGGGUGAGCAACACGUGAGUAACCUGCCCUUGACUUUGGGAUAACUUCAGGAAACUGGGGCUAAUACCGGAUAGGAGCUCCUGCUGCAUGGUGGGGGUUGGAAAGUUUCGGAGGUUGGGGAUGGACUCGCGGCCUAUCAGCUUGUUGGUGGGGUAGUGGCUUACCAAGGCUUUGACGGGUAGCCGGCCUGAGAGGGUGACCGGCCACAUUGGGACUGAGAUACGGCCCAGACUCCUACGGGAGGCAGAAGUGGGGAAUAUUGCACAAUGGGCGGAAGCCUGAUGCAGAGACGCCGCGUGCGGGAUGACGGCCUUCGGGUUGUAAACCGCUGUCGCCUGUGACGAAGCGUGAGUGACGGUAAUGGGUAAAGAAGCACCGGCUAACUACGUG